CCCUUAGAUGUCCUGGGCUGCACGCGCGCUACACUGAUGUGUCCAGUAAGCACCUAACCUCUUCCGAAAGGAACGGGUAACCUUUACAAAGCACAUCGUGAUGGGGAUAGAUUAUUGCAAUUAUUAGUCUUGAACGAGGAAUUCCUAGUAAGCACAAGUCAUCAGCUUGUGUUGAUUACGUCCCUGCCCUUUGUACACACCGCCCGUCGCUCCUACCGAUUGAAUGUUCCGGUGAGCUCUUCGGACUGCGCGGUCUGCAGUUUCUGCGUUCCGUGCGGAAAGUUGCGCAAACCUUAACAUUUAGAGGAAGGAGAAGUCGUAACA
rnacentral:rRNA from 1 species